rnacentral:lncRNA from 1 species
CUCUUUCAUCUCUACUGUUCAUCAUCUUCUCCACUUCUUUUCUUCAAUCCGAUGAGUUAAACUGUUAACAUGGUAUCAGAGCGGGUAUAUUCCGGUUCUACUCAUCACGAGCUUUCGACCGAUGUUACCCUCACCGGCUUUCAUUCAAGUUUCUGUUGAUUCACAAAAUUAGGGUUUUCGAUUCGGUUAGUUUUUCGUCAAAAUUGCUUGUAUUUUUUGUUGUUAAAAUUGUUGCAUGUUGUGUAAACAUCAGAGGCUGUAAUUUUUGUUUGUUUCUGGUUGGUUUCUGGUCGAUUCAUGUGUUAGCCAUCUGGUAUAGUUACGAUCUAUUGUUUGUUUGUGGUUAAAUGACAUAAGCAGUUAAAAAUGGUGGAUGUAGUAGAUGAUUCUCCUUCUGUUCCUACUAGCUUUGUCCCUAGUCCCUCGAAUCCCCUAUUUCUCAUGUCGUCUGAUGUUCCUGGUAUUUUUAGUUUUUCGUCAAAUUACUUGUAUUUUGUUGUUAAAAUUAUUGCAUGUUGUGUAAACAUCAGAGGCUGUAAUUUUUGUUUGUUUCUGGUUGGUUUCUGAUCGAUUCAUGUGUUAGCCAUCUGGUAUAGUCACGAUCUAUUGUUUGUUUGUGGUUAAAUGACGUAAGCAGUUAAAAAUGGUGGAUGUAGUAGAUGAUUCUCCUUCUGUUCCUACCAGCUUUGUACCUAGUCCUUCGAAUCCCCUAUUUCUCAUGUCGUCUGAUGUUCCUGGUAUUUCCUUGGUUACCAAUCCUUUCUCAGGAGUUGGUUUUGGGGGUUGGAGAAGAAAUGUGAUAGUAUCUUUGUCCGCUAGGAACAAAAUAGGUUUUAUAGAUGGCUCAAUGCCUAAACCUUCUGAAGAUUCCCCACAGUUUAGACAGUGGGAUAGGUGUAACAAUAUGGUCAUUUCAUGGCUCACGAAUUCCCUCACUCCUGAGAUAGCAGAGAGUGUCCAAUACUCUGACACUGCUCAUAGUAUCUGGGUCCAACUUAAUAAUAGAUAUGGGUCAGUUGAUGGUACUAAAAUUUUCGAAGUGAAACAACAGCUUGCUUCCACCACUCAGGGCUCUUUAGACAUAGCCUCUUAUUUCAAUAAAUUGAAGAAGUUAUGGGAUGAAUUGACAUUUAUGAGAACCUCAAGGAGUGUUGUAUCUGGUUGUGGUGCUACAUGUAGUGCUAGGAUUGAAAUUCAGAAAGAGGAUGAUGAAAAUAAAUUGCAUCAGUUCCUUAUGGGGUUGAAUGACAUAUACAUAGGAGUUAGGAGUAAUAUCCUUAUGAUGCAACCACCACCUUCCUUGGACAGUGCUUACAACAUACUUCUUCAGGAUGAAAGGCAAAGACAAGUCAUUCAUUCACCUUCCCAAUUCCACACUGAGUCCAGUGCUUUUAGCACUCAGUUUAUGAAAAAGCCUUAUGGAACUCACUCAAAUCCCAGACAAUUUACUCAAAAAGCCAGAUUUGAUACAAACAAAUCAGACCUAGUUUGUAGAUAUUGCAAGAAGCCAGGUCAUUUAAUUGAAAAAUGCUACAAGUUGCAUGGGUUCCCUCCAGACUUCAAAUUCACCAGGGAUAAGAGAGCUGCUGCUAGUGUUGAUGUACAAAAAGGUGUGGUUUCUGUUGCAAAUGCUGAUACAUCAAAUGUGGGUGAGGGUGUGCAAAAUUCUACCACUUCAGACUCUGGUAUUCCUGGGUUGACCAAGGAGCAAUAUUCACAGCUUUUGCUCCUUCUCCAACAAACUCAACUGUCUGAAUCUCAGCAUCAAUCCAAUGUGAUGGGGUCUGCAAACUUUGCUGGUACACUUUCUUCCUCUAUUCAACCUUUAAAAGAUGUAUCUUAUGGUGCUUGCAUGUUAACUAGAGUUAGUGCAUGUAUUUGGAUCAUUGAUUCUGGUGCCACUGACCAUAUGACUUCAAAUAAAUCCCUUCUCUUUGACAUCAAACCCCUAGUUGUCCCAUACUUAGUUACACUUCCUAAUGGUUAUAAGGUUAAAGUAACAUGUACUGGAUCUCUUAAAUUCCUUUGUUUCACUUUGCAUCAUGUGCUAUACAUUCCCAGUUUUCAAUACAAUCUGAUCUCUGUUUCCAAGCUUGUUCAACAGCUGAAUUCUAUUGUCUCAUUUACUAAGUUUUCUUGUCUAAUANNN